GCUGGAUGCUGACGAGCGGCGGACGGGUGAGUAAUGCAUAGGAAUCUGCCCGAUAGUGGGGGAUAACCUGGGGAAACCCAGGCUAAUACCGCAUACGUCCUACGGGAGAAAGGGGGCUCCGGCUCCCGCUAUGGGAUGAGCCUAUGUCGGAUUAGCUAGUUGGUGAGGUAACGGCUCACCAAGGCGACGAUCCGUAGCUGGUCUGAGAGGAUGAUCAGCCACAUCGGGACUGAGACACGGCCCGAACUCCUACGGGAGGCAGCAGUGGGGAAUAUUGGACAAUGGGGGAAACCCUGAUCCAGCCAUGCCGCGUGUGUGAAGAAGGCCCUCGGGUUGUAAAGCACUUUCAGCGAGGAAGAACGCCUAGCGGUUAAUACCCGCUAGGAAAGACAUCACUCGCAGAAGAAGCACCGGCUAACUCCGUGCCAGCAGCCGCGGUAAUACGGAGGGUGCAAGCGUUAAUCGGAAUUACUGGGCGUAAAGCGCGCGUAGGUGGCUUGAUAAGCCGGUUGUGAAAGCCCCGGGCUCAACCUGGGAACGGCAUCCGGAACUGUCAAGCUAGAGUGCAGGAGAGGAAGGUAGAAUUCCCGGUGUAGCGGUGAAAUGCGUAGAGAUCGGGAGGAAUACCAGUGGCGAAGGCGGCCUUCUGGACUGACACUGACACUGAGGUGCGAAAGCGUGGGUAGCAAACAGGAUUAGAUACCCUGGUAGUCCACGCCGUAAACGAUGUCGACCAGCCGUUGGGUGCCUAGCGCACUUU
rnacentral:rRNA from 1 species